UUUGAGACGAAAGUUUGUCAUUUGUAGAGAGAGCAAUUCAUACAGCAAAAGUAAGACACAUUUAAUCAAAGUAUUGCAUAAAGAGGUGAAGGGUUGCUUCAGGAAUUAACAAAGAAUGGAAGAAAAUUAUUUUUCAACGAUGACUGGCUUGUGAUACAUUUUCACAAAGAGCGAUUCACAUCUCAAAGAAAGACCAAGUUACAUCAAUGAGGGAUGACCCUCGUCAAGUUCUUAUUCUGAAAAGAAUUAAUAACAAUGUCUAUAAAAUUGAUCUUCUCGGAGAAAUUUCAGUAUGUUCUAUUUACAAUGUUAAUGACUUGACUCCUUUUGAUGUAGGUGAUAAUUUUCGUGAUACGAGGACGAAUCCUUUUGA